GACGAACGCUGGCGGCGUGCUUAACACAUGCAAGUCGAACGGAAAGGCCCUGCUUUUGUGGGGUGCUCGAGUGGCGAACGGGUGAGUAACACGUGAGUAACCUCCCUUGACUUUGGGAUAACUUCAGGAAACUGGGGCUAAUACCGGAUAGGAGCUCCUGCUGCAUGGUGGGGGUUGGAAAGUUUCGGCGGGUGGGGAUGGACUCGCGGCUUAUCAGCUUGUUGGUGGGGUAGUGGCUUACCAAGGCUUUGACGGGUAGCCGGCCUGAGAGGGUGACCGGCCACAUUGGGACUGAGAUACGGCCCAGACUCCUACGGGAGGCAGCAGGGGGGAAUAUUGCACAACGGGCGGAAGCCUGAUGCAGCAACGUCGCGUGCGGGAUGACGGCCUUCGGGUGGUAAACCGCUUUCGCCUGUGACGAAGCGUGAGUGACGGUAAUGGGUAAAGAAGCACCGGCUAACUACGUG
rnacentral:rRNA from 1 species